AGCCUACGGGUGGCAGCAGUGGGGAAUCUUGCACAAUGGGCGAAAGCCUGAUGCAGCCAUGCCGCGUGAAUGAUGAAGGCCUUAGGGUUGUAAAAUUCUUUCGUCAGGGAUGAUAAUGACCGUACCUGAAGAAGAAGCCCCGGCUAACUUCGUGCCAGCAGCCGCGGUAAUACGAAGGGGGCUAGCGUUGUUCGGAAUUACUGGGCGUAAAGCGCACGUAGGCGGACUUUUAAGUCAGGUGUGAAAUCCCGGGGCUCAACCUCGGAACUGCAUUUGAAACUGGAAGUCUUGAGAUCAGGAGAGGUUAGCGGAAUACCGAGUGUAGAGGUGAAAUUCGUAGAUAUUCGGUGGAACACCAGUGGCGAAGGCGGCUAACUGGACUGAUACUGACGCUGAGGUGCGAAAGUGUGGGGAGCAAACAGGAUUAGAUACCCCUGUAGUCC
rnacentral:rRNA from 1 species